CAAAAUUCCAACCAAUUAGUGUGCAAUCAUUCAUAAUUCUCUAGGAUUUGACAUCUAGUCCGGUUCCUUGACAGCUAAAUGUCGAUUUGUUACACUCAGAACAGAAACAACCCAAAAAUAAGAACGCCAGAGCAGCAAAACAAAGUUCAGCUGAUGUUUUUAAUUUUGGGCUGUUGUCAACACCCCAAAAUACAAGUUCACAGCUUGAACUGAUGCCCCAAAAACUUAUCGUUCGGAAUUUAUUUCGUUUGUUGUCGCCAUGCUGUUCCAUUUAAUUAAAAAUUGAAUUUGUUUCAAAUAAAAGCAGUGAAAAAUCGCUACACCAGCAAUUGUUACAAUUUGGAAAAUAAAAAUUGCAGGCUUGGACAAACAAAUUGAACGGGGAUACUACAGAUAUAUUAAAAGAGCUCGAAUGAAUCAUGGGAAUUAAAAAUAUAACUACAACAAAACUCAAAACUACAAGUUCAAAACUAAAUUGACUGAAAAUAAAUAAAAAACUUCAAACAACGCCUUUUAUUUUUUAAUUAAUUCUAUGCCCAUUUAAAAUGUUAUGAAUAUGAACAUAAAAUAAAUAUCGUUUUCUCGUCAGAAUGGCUUUCUCAAUUUUGGGGUGUGAAAAAGAGCUCGAUUCUCAAGUUUGGGAAAACCCCUCCAA